AGGGUCAGAAUUCAGCUGAUAACAAAGAAGAGAAAUCAGCUGCAAAAAAGAAGCGAGGGAGAGAAGAUGGAACAUAUAACAUCUCAGAAAUUAUGUCCAAAGAGGAAAUCUUAUCAGUGG